rnacentral:rRNA from 1 species
GAUGAACGCUGGCGGCGUGCCUAAUACAUGCAAGUCGAGCGAACAGACGAGGAGCUUGCUCCUCUGACGUUAGCGGCGGACGGGUGAGUAACACGUGGAUAACCUACCUAUAAGACUGGGAUAACUUCGGGAAACCGGAGCUAAUACCGGAUAAUAUAUUGAACCGCAUGGUUCAAUAGUGAAAGACGGUUUUGCUGUCACUUAUAGAUGGAUCUGGGCCGCAUUAGCUAGUUGGUAAGGUAACGGCUUACCAAGGCAACGAUGCGUAGCCGACCUGAGAGGGUGAUAGGCCACACUGGAACUGGGACACGGUCCAGAGUACUAAGGGAGGCAGCAGUAGGGAAUCUUCCGCAAUAGGCGAAAGCCUGACGGAGCAACGCCGCGUGAGUGAUGGAGGUCUUCGGAUCGUAAAACUCUGUUAUUAGGGAAGAACAAAUGUGUAAGUAAAUAUGCACGUCUUGACGGUACCUAAUCAGAAAGCCACGGCUAACUACGUG